AUUGAACGCUGGCGGCAGGCCUAACACAUGCAAGUCGAGCGGAUGAAGGGAGCUUGCUCCUGGAUUCCGCGGCGGACGGGUGUGUAAUGCCUAUGAAUCUGCCUUGUCGUGCGGGAUAACGUCCUGAAACGGGCGCUAAUACCGCAUCCGUCCUUCUGGCGCAAGUGGGGGUUCUUCGGUCCUCAUGCUUUCUUAUGAGCCUAGGUCGGAUUAGCUAGUUGGUUGGGUAAAGGCCUACCAAGGCUACGAUUCGUAACUGGUCUGAGAGGAUGAUCAGUCACACUGGAACAGAGACACGGUCCAGACUCCUACGGGAGGCAGCAGUGGGGAAUAUUGGACAAUGGGCGAAAGCGUGAUCCAGCAAUGCCGCGUGUGUGAAGAAGGACUUCGGAUUGUAAAGCACUUUAAGUUGGGAGGAAGGGCAGUAAGUUAAUACCGUGCGGUAUUGACGGUACCAACAGAAUAAGCACCGGCUAACUUCGUG
rnacentral:rRNA from 1 species